rnacentral:rRNA from 1 species
GAUGAACGCUGGCGGCGUGCCUAAUACAUGCAAGUCGAGCGAAUGGAUUGAGAGCUUGCUCUUAUGAAGUUAGCGGCGGACGGGUGAGUAACACGUGGGUAACCUGCCCAUAAGACUGGGAUAACUCCGGGAAACCGGGGCUAAUACCGGAUAACAUUUUGAAACGCAUGGUUCGAAAUUGAAAGGCGGCUUCGGCUGUCACUUAUGGAUUGACCCGCGUCGCAUUAGCUAGUUGGUGAGGUAACGGCUCACCAAGGCAACGAUGCGUAGCCGACCUGAGAGGGUGAUCGGCCACACUGGGACUGAGACACGGCCCAGACUCCUACGGGAGGCAGCAGUAGGGAAUCUUCCGCAAUGGACGGAAGUCUGACGGAGCAACGCCGCGUGAGUGAUGAAGGCUUUCGGGUCGUAAAACUCUGUUGUUAGGGAAGAACAAGUGCUAGUUGAAUAAGCUGGCACCUUGACGGUACCUAACCAGAAAGCCACGGCUAACUACGUGCCAGCAGCCGCCGUAA